rnacentral:rRNA from 1 species
AUUGAACGCUGGCGGCAGGCCUAACACAUGCAAGUCGAGCGGAUGAAGGGAGCUUGCUCCUGGAUUCAGCGGCGGACGGGUGAGUAAUGCCUAGGAAUCUGCCUGGUAGUGGGGGAUAACGUCCGGAAACGGGCGCUAAUACCGCAUACGUCCUGAGGGAGAAAGUGGGGGAUCUUCGGACCUCACGUUAUCAGAUGAGCCUAGGUCGGAUUAGCUAGUUGGUGGGGUAAAGGCCUACCAAGGCGACGAUCCGUAACUGGUCUGAGAGGAUGAUCAGUCACACUGGAACUGAGACACGGUCCAGACUCCUACGGGAGGCAGCAGUGGGGAAUAUUGGACAAUGGGCGAAAGCCUGAUCCAGCCAUGCCGCGUGUGUGAAGAAGGUCUUCGGAUUGUAAAGCACUUUAAGUUGGGAGGAAGGGCAGUAAGUUAAUACCUUGCUGUUUUGACGUUACCAACAGAAUAAGCACCGGCUAACUUCGU